rnacentral:rRNA from 2 species
AGAGUUUGAUCCUGGCUCAGGAUGAACGCUGGCGGCGUGCCUUAGGCAUGCAAGUGGAACGAUUCAAGCUUGCUUGAAGAGUCGCGAACGGCUGAGUAACACGUAGGAAUCUACCUCUUGGUGGGGAAUAACCAGCUGAAAGGCUGGCUAAUACCGCAUAAGAUCCUAGAUGAAAGGGCGUAACUGCCCGCCGAGAGAGGAGCCUGCGGCCUAUCAGCUUGUUGGUGUGGUAAUGGCACACCAAGGCUACGACGGGUAGGGGGCGUGAGAGCGUGUACCCCCAGAAUGGCACUGAGAUACGGGCCAUACACCUACGGGUGGCAGCAACCGGGAAUUGUGCGCAAUGGACGAAAGUCUGACGCCGCGACGCCGCGUGAGGGAUGAAGGCCUUUGGGUUGUAAACCUCUUUUGCCAGAAGGGAGACCGACUGGAGAAUAAGCACCCGCUAACUACGUGCCAGCAGCUGCGGUAAUACGUAGGGUGCAAGCGUUAUCCGGAUUUAUUGGGCGUAAAGCGUUUCGUAGGUGUCUUGAUAAGUUACUCUUCAAAGACUGGGGCUCAACUUCAGAAAGGGGGGUAAUACUGUCAGGAUUGAAGUACUUCGGGGUUACUGGAAUUGUCGGUGUAGGGGUGAUAUCCGUUGAUAUCGUCAAGAACACCAAGGGCGUAGGCGGGUAGCUAGGAGUUACUUGACACUGAGGAACGAAAGCUAGGGUAGCGAAAGGGAUUAGAGACCCCUGUAGUCCUAGCCGUAAACGAUGCUCGCUAGGGAUUGGUCUUUCGGGAUCAGUUCCGUAAGCUAACGCGUGAAGCGAGCCGCCUGGGGAGUACGGCCGCAAGGCUAAAACUCAAAGGAAUUGACGGGGACCCGCACAACCAGUGGAGCAUGUGGUUUAAUUCGAGACGAACCGAAGAACCUUACCUGGACUUGACAUACUAGCUGCACGUCUUAAGAAAUUAAGACUCUUUUGAAGGUGCUAGUACAGGUGUUGCAUGGCUGUCGUCAGCUCGUGCCGUGGGGUGUUCCCUUCAGUGGGGUAACGAGCGCAACCCUUGCCGUAUGUUGAAUUGUUCAUACGGGACUAUCCACCUUAGGUGGGAGGAAGUGGGGACGACGUCAAGUCAGCAUGGCCCUUAUGUCCAGGGCGACACACAUGCUACAAUGGAGCCGACAAAGGGUUGCCAAGUGGUAACACGGAGCUAAUCCCAUCAAACGGCUUCUCAGUGGGGAUUGGGGGCUGCAACUCGCCCUCAUGAACGAGGAAUUGGUAGUAAUCGCGGAUCAGCCAAGCCGCGGUGAAUACGUUCUCGGGUCUUGUACACACCGCCCGUCAAGUGAGUGAAGUUGGGGGCACCCGAAUACCGUUUGUAACGGUAGAAGGUGAAUUCAGCGACAAGCACUAAGUCGUAACAAGGUAACC